AAAAAAAAACAAUAAAGGUCUGGAUUUCUUUGGUCGGCCCGUGGUUAAGAAUCUGUCUGCCAAUGCAGGCAACAUGGGUUGGAUCCCUGAUCUGGGAAGAUCCCACAUGCUGCUGGGCAACUAAGCCCAUGUGCCACAACUACUGAAGCUCCCCUGCCUUAGAGACUGUGCUCUGCAAUAAGAAAAGCCACCACAAUGAGAAGCCAGCCAACCACAACUAGAGAGUAGCCCCUGCUGAUCACAACUGAAGAAGGCCCGUAGCAAUGAAGACCCAGAAGCCAAAAAUAAAAUAAUUUAUAAAAGAGCCUCACUUCUUCUGUUCUGAAUGGGUGGGAGUGGCACUCAGGGCAACUGGUUGGCACAGAUAAAGCUCCUCGUGCUGGUUGUAGAGUUCUUGAUUUUAAUAGCAGAACAUUCAAGAGUUCUAUGCCUUUUAGACUGUCACCCCUCUUGGAGUUCUCCCUCUAGAAUCCUUUUGAGACAUUCCUUCUCUUGCCUAAAGUUGUGUCUUGGAUUGGAAAAUUUCCUAGAGAUAUUUACUGAUGUGGACAAAGAAAUUGCUGAGGAUGGUGAUAAGAGAUUCAAGCUGGAAUCCUGAAACUACCUUGUGAGUAAAGCUCAGCAAACCUUUUGGAGGAUGAGACCGUAUGGAAGAAAAUGCAGGCAUUCUGGCAGAGAACCUGUCAGCUGCCAGACAUGUGAGAGAGGCUCUUCUAGCCCAUUCAGCUGAGUGAACCCUGCAGAGAUCAACUGAAUGGAUCCAGACCAGAGGAACCACUCAGCUCACUCACAAAACUGUGAGCUAAAUAAAUUAUUGUUGUUUUAGAUCACUGAGUUUUGAAAUGGUUUAUUAUACAGC
rnacentral:lncRNA from 1 species